rnacentral:rRNA from 1 species
GGGUUUGUACUGUCCUGACUGGGUCUUCCUUUCUGGUGAGCUGUCAUGUUGUUUACUCAGGGUGGCAGGGAACCAGGACUUUUACUUUGAAAAAAUUAGAGUGUUUAAAGCAGGCAUUCGCUUGAAUACAUUAGCAUGGAAUAAUAAAAUAGGACUUUGGUUCUAUUUUGUUGGUUUCUAGGACCGAAGUAAUGAUUAAUAGGGAUAGUUGGGGGCAUUAGUAUUUAAUUGUCAGAGGUGAAAUUCUUGGAUUUAUGAAAGACUAACUUCUGCGAAAGCAUUUGCCAAGGAUGUUUUCAUUAAUCAAGAACGAAAGUUAGGGGAUCGAAGACGAUCAGAUACCGUCGUAGUCUUAACCAUAAACUAUGCCGACUAGGGAUCAGACAAGAGAUUUAUUGACUUGUUUGGCACCUUAUGAGAAAUCAAAGUUUUUGGGUUCCGGGGGGAGUAUGGUCGCAAGGCUGAAACUUAAAGGAAUUGACGGAAGGGCACCACCAGGAGUGGAGCCUGCGGCUUAAUUUGACUCAACACGGGGAAACUCACCAGGUCCAGACAUAGUAAGGAUUGACAGAUUGAAGAUCUUUCUAGAUUCUAUGGGUGGUGGUGCAUGGCCGUUCUUAGUUGGUGGAGUGAUUUGUCUGGUUUAUUCCGUUAACGAACGAGACCUCGGCCUUUAACUAGUCCCUCUGUCCAUUACGGAUGGAGGUCACUUCUUAGAGGGACAACCGG